GGGGGCGAUAAGGUUUCGACUUGGGAAGUGAAGUAUUGGAUGCAUGCGGAGGGUGUCAGGUGGCCUCCUUAAAAACCUGAUCUUUUAAUAAACGCAAACGAUAACUCGUAUGCAAUGGCUGCUUAAUUAAGUAGCCCGUGUCAUGCACUUUUUCCUGCGUGGUGUAUGAUGCGACCAGCUAGUAGGAUAGUAUGUCUGUUCUCUCCGGGCAGAUAUGCGAACUUUUUUGGAGAUGGCAACUGUUUUAUCCCGUCCAUAGGAGAAGACAGGUGCAAGAUACAAAAUGUGGACUAAGCAUGUAGAAUCCCUUACAGGAUCUUCUUGAGGACCUGGGUUCGAAUCCCAGCGCCUCCAAAA
rnacentral:tmRNA from 1 species